rnacentral:rRNA from 1 species
GUUUGAUCCUGGCUCAGGACGAACGCUGGCGGCGCGCUUAACACAUGCAAGUCGAGCGAAAACCGGGACUUCGGUCCCGGGGAAAGCGGCGAACGGGUGAGUAACACGUGGAUAACCUGCCCUCGGCACCGGGAUAGCCCGGGGAAACUCGGAUUAAUACCGGAUGGCCCCUCCGACUUUCGGGUUGGCGGGAAAAGGUAGCUUCGGCCUCUGGCCGAGGAUGGGUCCGCGGCGGAUUAGCUUGUUGGCGGGGUAACGGCCCACCAAGGCGACGAUCCGUAGCUGGUCUGAGAGGACGAUCAGCCACACUGGGACUGAGACACGGCCCAGACUCCUACGGGAGGCAGCAGUGGGGAAUCUUGCGCAAUGGGCGAAAGCCUGACGCAGCGACGCCGCGUGAGGGAAGACGGCCUUCGGGUUGUAAACCUCUUUCAGGAGGGACGAAGCCACUCGGGUGAAUAGCCCAGAGGGUGACGGUACUUCCAGAAGAAGCCCCGGCUAACUACGUGCCAGCAGCCGCGGUAAUACGUAGGGGGCAAGCGUUGUCCGGAUUUACUGGGCGUAAAGAGCGUGUAGGCGGCCAAGCAGGUCCGUUGUGAAAACUGGAGGCUCAACCUCCAGACGUCGACGGAAACCGCUUGGCUAGAGUCCGGAAGAGGAGAGUGGAAUUCCUGGUGUAGCGGUGAAAUGCGCAGAUAUCAGGAAGAACACCAAUGGCGAAGGCAGCUCUCUGGGACGGUACUGACGCUGAGACGCGAAAGCGUGGGGAGCGAACAGCAUUAGAUACCCUGGUAGUCCACGCCGUAAACGAUGGGUGCUAGGUGUGGGAGGUGUCGACUCCUCCCGUGCCGCAGCUAACGCAUUAAGCACCCCGCCUGGGGAGUACGGCCGCAAGGCUAAAACUCAAAGGAAUUGACGG